AUUGAACGCUGGCGGCAUGCCUUACACAUGCAAGUCGAACGGCAGCGGGGGAGAAGCUUGCUUUUCCUGCCGGCGAGUGGCGAACGGGUGAGUAAUACAUCGGAACGUGCCCUGUAGUGAGGGAUAACUAGUCGAAAGAUUAGCUAAUACCGCAUACGACCCGAGGGUGAAAGUGGGGGACCGCAAGGCCUCAUGCUAUAGGAGCGGCCGAUGUCUGAUUAGCUAGUUGGUGGGGUAAAGGCCGACCAAGGCGACGAUCAGUAGCUGGUCUGAGAGGACGAUCAGCCACACUGGGACUGAGACACGGCCCAGACUCCUACGGGAGGCAGCAGUGGGGAAUUUUGGACAAUGGGCGAAAGCCUGAUCCAGCAAUGCCGCGUGUGUGAAGAAGGCCUUCGGGUUGUAAAGCACUUUUGUCCGGAAAGAAAUGGCUCUGGUUAAUACCUGGGGUCGAUGACGGUACCGGAAGAAUAAGGACCGGCUAACUACGUGCCAGCCGCCGCGGUAACAC
rnacentral:rRNA from 1 species